CGCUUGUAUCGUCCUCAUCAUCAUCAUCAUCAGACUCUUCAUCGUCCGAGUCAUCUUCAUUCCCUCCAUCGUUCUUGGCUUCUAUCAUUUCUAUCUCCCUCAGCUCUUCUUCAUCCCCUUCAUCGCAGACACGCUUCUUCAAAGGCAACCUUACAACACACACACAACAACAACAACUUAUGAAAAUAUAAAUCAGUGAGCAAUUAGUACGGACAUGAAUGAAGGAUCAAGCCGUUACUCUGGUUUGUAAAAUCUCACGCCAUUAGUAAGUAAUUCAUUGUUACUUGAAACAUCCUAUUAAAGUAAACGAUUAAGACGAGUAAGCCAAUCUACACCACUCAUCCAAAUAGAUUGGCAUAAACUGUAAAAAAAAACUUAUAAUGUGCCGAAUGGAUUUGAACUUUCCCUUGAGUAACGAGUUACAAAGUUCCAUGACUUCUUUCUGAAUAUACCCAAGUGAGUGUGAGAUCAAGGAAGACUAAUGAAACAAGCUUUAAAACCAUUUACCUCCUGUAGAUUGUAGCAGUUCCGCAUUAUUAGAGUCUUGAGUGAACUCUCUUUGCAGCUAUGACCCAAAUCCCUACCAACAUUAUUUUCUUGAUAUGUAAAAAUUUUUUCAAUAAGAAUUUUUUUUGUUUUUAA